rnacentral:lncRNA from 1 species
CUAUUUUGUUAUUUAAACACCUUGGGCAGUGUGUUUUGUUUUCAGAGAGGACUCAUAAAUAAGCUGGCUGUAGAGGACUCUGGAGACAGUGUUAAGGAGGAGACACCAUAAGCUCUGUCCUCCUGUCCUUUCUUACCACACCAUGUGGAAGAACAGAUAUGCUCAGCUGUACCUUUUUUCAGUUCUUCUUGCCUUCCUGCCUUCUGCAUCUUCACUCAAUGGAGACCCGAAGUAUAUGGUGCUGGUCCCUUCUCAGCUCUACACUGAGACCCCUGAGAAAAUCUGCUUCCAUCUAUACCAUCUGAAUGAGACAGUGACCGUCACAGCUUCCUUGGUGUCUCAAUCAAGAUGGAGAAACCUGUUCGAUGAGCAUAUCACAGAUUUCUUGGUAUCUCAAUUGGAAAGGAGAAACCUGUUCGAUGAGCUUGUGGUUGACAAGGACUUGUUCCAAUGUGUUUCCUUCAUUAUCCCUACACUCAACUCUCCUGAUGAGGAGGAGUUUCUCUACGUGGACAUCAAAGGGCCAACCCACGAAUUCAGCAAAAGGAAAGCAGUGCUUGUGAAGAACAAAGAAAGUGUUGUCUUUGUCCAGACAGAUAAGCCCGUGUACAAACCAGGACAAUCAGUUAAAUUUCGGGUUGUCUCUAUGGAUAAAACUCUACACCCCCUGAAUGAGUUGCUCCCUCUGGCUUACAUUGAGGAUCCGAAAAAGAACCGAAUUAUGCAGUGGAGGGAUAUUAAGACUGAGAAUGGGCUUAAGCAAAUGUCCUUCAGCCUGGCAGCAGAGCCCAUUCAGGGCCCCUACAAGAUAGUGGUGCACAAACAGUCAGGGGAGAUGGAAGAACACUCCUUUACUGUGUUGGAAUUUGUGCUUCCCAGAUUUAAUGUCGACCUGAAGGUUCCAAAUGCCAUCUCUGUGAAUGAUGAAGUGCUCCAAGUGACUGCAUGUGGGAAAUAUACCUAUGGGAAGCCUGUUCCAGGACAGGUGAAGAUAAGUAUCUGCCAUGAGACUGAAGCUGGAUGCAAAGAAGUCAAUUCCAAGGUGAGUGAAUCCAUUCUAAGGCCUGUUUUAAAUAUCCAAGACUGUCUAACAGGAAUGCAGACAGCAAAGAGAAGAGAACACACAUACCCACACAUUGAAAGAAGAUGUUCUGGGACCUUGGGCUGUAGCCCAGGGAUGGAACACUAGCCAGGCUUGUGUGCAAACCCCAGAAACACAUCUAAGCCCCUCACUGACAAAAGAGAUAAUUCUGGGAUCCACUACUAUUAAAGGAAUAUUUCAACAACUUUA